ensembl:lncRNA
UUUUUUAACAGCAAAGGGUUGUCAAACUAAAUAGUGACUUUGUGUAAUUUACUUUUAAUUUCUUUAUUUUUGAGGGCAUCUUUGCUGUGCAGCAUUUCUUUGCAUGUGCCUUUUGCACAGUACUGUAUAUUUGACUUUUUUCUAUUUCUUUUUUUCAUGGUUGUUUGAGCAGCUCUUGGUUUAAAUCAGACACACUCACAGUAAGCGUUAUUAUCAGUAGUACUGAGUUGUAGUUUCGUUGUCAAUAAUACAAACCAGUUUAAAAAAUAUAAAAUGUGUAAACACCUGUUAAUGGGACCAUGUAAUGAUGAUCACUGCUUUAAUGCUAACCACUACAUUUUAUGCUACAUAGUAAAAUGGCAUAGGGGCAAUUUCAUGAUGUGCAUUUAUACAUAUGUGAUAUUUGUACUGAACCUUUUUUAAGAACACAGCUAACAUUAAGGUGUGUGUGUGUGUGUGUGUGUGUGUGUGUGUGUAUAAACUGUUAUAACAUGACUUGCACCUCACUGCACUUUUGUAGUGAUGUAUAAAAAAUUAAAUUAAGAGACUGAAAGCACUGCAGACUUACAGAUUUAUUAUUAUUAUUAUUAUUAUUAUUAUUUUAAGUGAAUGCGAUUAGAGAGCCAUAAGAGAUUAUUACUUUGGCCAGAAUAUUUCAGGCUUUUUCAUAUGUUUUAUUAUUUUAUUUUAUUGUCCAUGUGCUGUUGCAGAGGUUGUGCUCAAACCACAGCUAGGUGGAAUUCCCUAACUAUCAUUAGAAAUAUUUAUGGGUGAAGUUGUGCUAUAAAUUGGGAAAAUGGGAAACAGGAUAUGAGAUUAAAUUCAUGGAUGCUGAGGCUGUUUGUAAGGGGUUGAGAAAGAGCACCUCCACACCAGAAACUUGAUCAAGUCCUUAUUUUGUUUAAAUAACAUCAUGAUUAGGGAUUCCUUGCAGUAUGUCCUUUCCUGUACUGAGGUUUUACUUUAUAAUACAAAUGCUGUUAACAGAAGAGCUUUUGCUGAUGUGGAUUAAGCACUGUGUUGUGACUGUAAAGCCUAAAUUUGUACACACACAUACACACUUUCUUACUGUAGUCAGGUUAUUGUCAUGUGGAGCACCCAUAGUGUCUUACACACAUACACCCUUUAUGUAUUUACAAACUUAACUGUGUAUGGCUCUAAAACUGACAACAACAUAAACACUGGUGCGCGCACACACACACACACACACACACACACACACACACACACACACACACUUUGUUUCUUGUUAGUUUGGAUUAAAUUCUCUAACUUGUAUUAUGUAAUCAAAAACUGCAUAUAAAAUCUCUAGAUUGGUGGUUCAGAUUUACUGACGGUGUGACAGUGGUGACUAAUUUGUGUUGCAUCAUAAGCAAAUUUCAUGUUCAAGUCAUUGCUGAAAAUUAAUAUUUUACAGAAGAGUAAUAAUGCUAGUAUACAGACACAGAGAUCAGUCAUCAUAUUAUACAAAAUAUUUCCUGACACUUUGCAGAGGUGCACUGAAGGAUCACUGUUCUGUUGAACCAGCAACGCAGGCAUGGAUGCAUAAUUACAAUAAACUGCUCACCAGGCCAGCAACAACUAGUAAUGAGUGGUUUUGGUGGCCAAAUCACUUAUUAUUUUUUACAUUUAUUUAUUUAUUGUUCACUAAAAUGAACAGAACUGCUGUGUAUUAUGUCUUAGAAAUGAACUUAAAACCAUGCAUAAUAUAAUACAAUUUAGUUUUUUAGUUUAAUUACAUGGUAGAAUUGAGAAAUAUUUUGAAAAAUAUAAUAAAUAGCAGCAGUGAAUAUUAGAGUAAGGACAUUAGGACAGUGCCUUGUUGUAGCACCACCACCACCACCUAAUUGCACUUGCAGUCUUUCUUGCUUUUCUGGUGUAACUGCUUGUUUGAUCUUGACUGUAUUUAAAACAUAUAUAAUGAAACCAGCAUGAAACAGUUCUUGGAAGCAUUUUGCAUGGUUUAACUGCACUAUAAUGUGGAAUUAUAAGGUAAUGGUUUGAUGCAUCUGUUUCUCAAUUUUUCCGUGAUUGUGCAGGUAAAUGCAUGAUGCAGCAUAGAUUUGUGGGAUGCACUGUUUUACCCGCUGUGCAGCCACCAAAGCCAUACACACAAUGCAAAAUGCAUUUUUGCAAUACAAUGCAAUUUUGCUCAACCGAAUGGAUUGAUCUGGAAUUAAUUUAGCUACGUGUUUUCUGUUGCUUUUAGACUGAGUGCAUCAACAUUGCCAAGUGUAUUUUUUCCCACCAAAUUUAAUAAGGCUGUGUUGGAACUUGGCUGGUGCAACAAUGUUGGAUUACUUCAGGUUGGCUAUACUGUUACACAGAUAACCCUUAUCAGUAAUAGAUAUCUAGUGGUUGGGGAAAAAGUCAAUGCUGGCGUAGUGAUCAGCCUAUAGGAACAGUAAAGGAUCGCUGUUGAAGGUCACAUUGUGGCUGGUUGAGCGGCCACGGCCUGGGGUGGUUAUCGAAGAUCGUGUUAUGCUUGCCUACUGGUCCUCAACAGUGUUGAGCCAUUCUCCUUAUGCUACAGGAGUUUGUUCACAAGCUGCUGCAGAGCUAAAAGUCCAAUUUAUGUUCAGCAUGCUGUUAAAAUAUUUUUUAAAUAUUAAAACUACUGUUACUACAAUGAUAUUUGCAGAGUAUCAAUACUGUGCAUGCUGACAAUAUAUAUAGUGUGGUAUGUUCACAGUGAGCAUUACAUGUAUUCAAAAAUAGGGGCAUAAUUUUGAAUGCGUCUGAACAUCCUAAUUAUGUGCAAUUCCACUACUAAAGUUUAUAUUAAUAUAAAUGUAUAUGCUGUUUAUCCUGUGUGCUGGCAUGUAGGUGCUGGAGAUGCAUGCUUACGUACUCAUUCAUGGAUCUUUCCUGCGUUUCAGAUGGAGCGCUGGAGUCCUGUGGGGAAGCAAAGAGGUGGGAGCUAACUAGAACUGGGGAUUCUCCGUCUGUGUGUGUGUGUGUGUGUGAGAGAGAGAGAGAGAGUGAUAGAGAGAGAGAGAUGCUCUUCAG